CGGAAAGCCUGACGCAGCGACGCCGCGUGUGGGAUGACGGCCUUCGGGUUGUAAACCACUGUCGGGAGGGACGAAUGCCCCGCAAGGGGAGUGACGGUACCUCCAAAGGAAGCACCGGCUAACUCCGUGCCAGCAGCCGCGGUAAUACGGAGGGUGCGAGCGUUGUCCGGAAUCACUGGGCGUAAAGGGCGCGUAGGCGGCCUGAUAAGUAGGGGGUGAAAUCCUGCGGCUUAACCGCAGGGCUGCCUUCUAAACUGUCGGGCUCGAGCACAGUAGAGGCAGGUGGAAUUCCCGGUGUAGCGGUGGAAUGCGUAGAGAUCGGGAAGAACAUCAGUGGCGAAGGCGGCCUGCUGGGCUGUUGCUGACGCUGAGGCGCGACAGCGUGGGGAGCAAACAGGAUUAGAUACCCUGGUAGUCCACGCCGUAAACGAUGGGCACUAGGCGUCGGGGGGAGCGACCCUCCCGGUGCCGUCGCUAACGCAGUAAGUGCCCCGCCUGGGGAGUACGGCCGCAAGGCUG
rnacentral:rRNA from 1 species